rnacentral:rRNA from 1 species
GGAGGAUCCAAGCGUUAUCCGGAUUUAUUGGGUUUAAAGGGUGCGUAGGUGGCUUUUUAAGUCAGGGGUGAAAGACGGCAGCUUAACUGUCGCAGUGCCCUUGAUACUGAAGAGCUUGAAUCCACUAGAGGUAGGCGGAAUGUGACAAGUAGCGGUGAAAUGCAUAGAUAUGUCACAGAACACCAAUUGCGAAGGCAGCUUACUAUGGUGGUAUUGACACUGAGGCACGAAAGCGUGGGGAUCAAACAGGAUUAGAUACCCUGGUAGUCCACGCCCUAAACGAUGAAUACUCGAUGUUGGCGAUAUACGGUCAGCGUCUAAGCGAAAGCGUUAAGUAUUCCACCUGGGGAGUACGCCGCCAAGGGUG